rnacentral:rRNA from 1 species
UCCUACGGGGAGGCAGCAGUGGGGAAUAUUGGGCAAUGGAGGAAACUCUGACCCAGCGACGCCGCGUGCGGGAUGAAGGCCUUCGGGUUGUAAACCGCUUUCAGCAGGGAAGAAGCGAAAGUGACGGUACCUGCAGAAGAAGCACCGGCUAACUAUGUGCCAGCAGCCGCGGUAAUACAUAGGGUGCAAGCGUUGUCCGGAAUUAUUGGGCGUAAAGAGCUCGUAGGUGGUUCGUCACGUCGGAUGUGAAACUCUGGGGCUUAACCCCAGACCUGCAUUCGAUACGGGCGAGCUUGAGUAUGGUAGGGGAGUCUGGAAUUCCUGGUGUAGCGGUGGAAUGCGCAGAUAUCAGGAGGAACACCAAUGGCGAAGGCAGGACUCUGGGCCAUUACUGACACUGAGGAGCGAAAGCGUGGGGAGCGAACAGGAUUAGAUACCCUGGUAGUCCACGCCGUAAACGGUGGGCACUA